rnacentral:rRNA from 1 species
UACGUAGGUGGCAAGCGUUAUCCGGAAUUACUGGGCGUAAAGCGCACGCAGGCGGCCUUUUAAGUUUGACGUGAAAGCUCCCGGCUUAACUGGGAGAGGCCAUUGGAAACUGACAGGCUGGAGGGCAGUAGAGGUAGGCGGAAUUCCGGGUGGAGUGGUGAAAUGCGUAGAGAUCCGGAGGAACACCAGAGGCGAAGGCGGCCUACUGGGCUGCACCUGACGCUGAGCCGCGAAAGCCAGGGGAGCGAACGGG